rnacentral:rRNA from 1 species
UACGUAGGGUGCGAGCGUUGUCCGGAAUUAUUGGGCGUAAAGAGCUUGUAGGCGGUUUGUCGCGUCUGCUGUGAAAAUCCGGGGCUCAACCCCGGACUUGCAGUGGGUACGGGCAGACUAGAGUGUGGUAGGGGAGACUGGAAUUCCCGGUGUAGCGGUGGAAUGCGUAGAGAUCGGGAAGAACAUCGGUGGCGAAGGCGGUCUGCUGGGCCGUUGCUGACGCUGAGGCGCGACAGCGUGGGGAGCAACAGGAUUAGA